rnacentral:rRNA from 1 species
AGUCGCUGGGAGCACUUGCUAAACCCGGAGGCGCAGUGAAAGCGGGGAGCGGUUCCUCGUGAUCCGCCGCUGGGAGGAUGUCACUCGGAGAACCCGUUUGACCGCACUCCCGGGGCGCCUCGGCUCCGGCCGCAGGCGCACCCUGAGCGCACACGUUGGGACCCGAAAGAUGGUGAACUAUGCCUGGUCAGGACGAAGUCAGGGGAAACCCUGAUGGAGGUCCGCAGCGAUUCUGACGUGCAAAUCGAUCGUCAGAGCUGGGUAUAGGGGCGAAAGACUAAUCGAACCAUCUAGUAGCUGGUUCCCUCCGAAGUUUCCCUCAGGAUAGCUGGCGCCCAUUUAGAUCGGGACGAGUCUCAUCCGGUAAAGCGAAUGAUUAGAGGCCUUGGGGCCGAAACGACCUCAACCUAUUCUCAAACUUUAAAUGGGUGAGAUCUCCGGCUUGCUUGACUGAAGCCGCGAGAGUACCGGAUUAGGGUGCCAAGUGGGCCAUUUUUGGUAAGCAGAACUGGCGCUGUGGGAUGAA